AGCUUGGGCCAGGGCCCUUUCUGUUGUGUCUCAGAGAAGGCACAAUGACCAGAGUGGAGGGGGCCGAGGGUGGCUUUUGCAGCCUGUGAGGAGCUGGCUGCCUGCAGUGCCUGCUGAGCUGGGGUGGGCAUGAGGCCAGGAGUGAGUUUUCCUGACUCUCAGGAAGGGAGGACACAGAGGAGGAAUGUGUGCAGUGACCCCAACAGCAAAAGACGAGGCUUCAGAAUACGUAAGUGUCCUGCAGGGAGCGAGGAUGGGUCACACGUAGAUACUGAGUCACACACACCAACUGUACUGCUUAACUUGUAAAAUUUAGCACACUGUAAGAUUAAUACUAACUUAUCACACGUCUGAGUACCCCGAACACACACUCUUUAAAAUAAAACCUCUGUACAGUUAGUUUUUAUGGCUAACCUUGUACAUCCUAGAAUCACCUGGGGAAAGAGUCUCAGUGAGGGAUUUUCUGUCUCAGGUUGAAUGUGCUCUCUGCAGGUGGAUGGGAGGAGUCACCCAAGUAUGGGUGGUGUCAUUUCUCGGGCUUUGGACUGGGUAAGAGUGAAGAAAGCCAGCUGAAAGCAGACAAACAAAGGUGUUUGCUUCUCUUUGCUUUGGCUAUGGGUGCACUGUGAGCAACCUUCUUAAACUGCGGCUUCUACCAUCCAAGUGCUGAGGUUACAGGAGUGUGCCACCCAUGCCUAGUAUCUGCAGUGCUGGGAACUAAACCCAGAGCUUUGUGAGCCGUGGGAAGAGCCUACCAACUCAGCCUAGGCCUUGGCGCCAGCGUUAUUCCGUCAUUAAGGGUCAUUGGGACAUAAGCACUGUGGUAUUUUGACAUUUGAUCUGAUCACCAACCACUGCCCGGUGGGUGAGUGGUCCACGUGGCAUGGAUGCUUUGGACAGAGAUGAUUGGAAGUAGAAUGGCAGCGGUUUCGUCGUGCGACUCAAAAUGGCAAGUAGUUUAAACUUAGGGAUUGCUUAUUUAUACAAUAUUCCAUUUAGUAUUCUUAGAAUGUGGUUGACCAUUACCCAAACCAGGGAAAGCAAAGCCAUGCACGGCAGGGGAGUUGCUAUAAUGAAAUGCUGUGUUGGUCUCUUGGGUCUGCCAUAGAAAAGUCCAGAAAUGGAGUGAAGCGGCUUAAACGACUGCAAUGCCGCGGUCUCGCCGCUCCGCUGUGGGGAGGUCUGAGGCAUGCCUCCCUCCUGGGUGAUCUUGGGCGUGGCGUUACAGCCUUGUCUCUGUCUUCACUCUCACGUGGUGUCCUCCCGCACGCGUGUUUGUGUCUAAAUGACCCCUUUUCAUGAGGACACCAGACACCGGAGAUUAGUGACUCUGGGGAGUGUCUUCAUCUUAACUAAUCACAUUUCAGUGAUUCUGUUUCCAAGCACUGUCCCAUUUUUAGGUCUUGGGAGUUGGGAGGGUGUAUGUUGGCAAUAGCAGCUAUGAGCUGUUAUGUAGGCAUGGGCGGCUUUUGGGAGCUGAGGCUGACGCUUGACGCACUCAGUGCAGCCUAAGUAGUAGGGUUAUUUGACUUUUUCUCUGGCAGAAGAGGGUCAGGUGGAAGGAGGAAGCACAAAGGCGAUGGCUUCUCUGAAGGGAGAAGAAUCGUCUUAGUGAAUGUGUUAGGACAACUGGCCAGUCAUUCAGGAACAGUGCUGGUUGUUUUGCUCAGCCAGCUGGAUCAAAACUCACAGCCAGAAAAAAAACAAAACCAAACAAAGCAAAACAGGAAACAAACACCCAAACAAAACACACACACAUGCACGCACAUACACGCACACGCAUGCAUUCACACACAUACACACAUAUGCAUACACACACGUGGCGUCCAUACAUGCAUACACACAUGUGGCAUACAUACAUGCACACACAUGCAUGCACACACAUGCAUGCACACAUGUGGCAUGCAUGCAUACAUGCACACAUGCACACACACGCACACACCCCAGUAAAAGCACUGUAAGGAAACAGGACAGUCAUCCUGUGCUAAUGAGUUAGGAGGAAUAUGGGAGGCUGUCUGCUUGCUUCAUAAAAGGUGACCACAUGAAAACAGAUGUCAAUAAAAUUAACCCCAUAAAAGAAAAUUUUCUAUAGUCAAAAGAUAUAGCCGGGCAGUGGUGGCGCACGCCUUUAAUCCCAGCACUUGGGAGGCAGAGGCAGGCGGAUCUCUGUGAGUUCGAGGCCAGCCUGGUCUACAAGAGCUAGUUCCGGGACAGGCUCCAAAACCACAGAGAAACCCUGUCUCGAAAAACCAAAAAAAAAAAAAAAUAUGAAAACUAAAAAAAAAUCAAUUAAUAAAGAAACCUGUGAGGCGAAGGACAGACUAUGAAAGAUGUUUGCGGAAUGCGUAACUGGCAGGGGGCUGAUUGGCUUUAUAGUGUGUCAAUUAGAUGAGAUAAAAAUCCCCAAGAAAAACAUGCAAACAGCAGCAAAAGACAUACAUCAAUAUAUUCCCAAUUACAGCCCGAGAAAUACAAAUGAUACCCAGCCUUGUCUUAUUGGCAAAGAUGGAUGUGCUGUGCAUUUGCGGAGACAGCGGCUGUGCUUGCCUCUGGAGAGAGACUGUAAACUGUCGCGAUGCCGCAUAACUCAGAAAUCUUCCAAAGCAGUACACGCAGGCCCUUUAUAAUCCCACGGAUCUCCUAAGAGCCUACCCUGAGAAAGCUGAAGAGGCUCAUUGCAGCGUUGCUACUGAACAAAAAUGUGGCUCGCUAGCCUACCAGCUGGGCGGAGCGGUGUUUUGCGUCCACAUCCAGGAAGUGGGCCUGGGAUGGUGGGUGAGACGUGAACGAGAAGAGAAGGACAGUGAAGAGAUGGAAAGAACGCCGGGGACCAGGGACGGAGUCGGAAGGAAAGAAGUGAUACAGGGAAAGGCGGGGCAGCCCGUGGCUCCCUGGUGGGGGCGGGGACGGGAGUCAGAAGCUUCAUUUAAAUGGUCAGCAAGGUGUCCCCUGGUGAAGGCAGACUGGCCGUCCUACCUACAGGACAUGACCACAGGUCUUUGGGGCACUUGCUAAGUAAGAUCCAAUUGGAGGGUCGGUGAGGUUGCGACUCCUUGAUGGGGAAGGAGGUCUGUUCUGUCACUGCUGGUGUCCCCUAAGGCUGUGGCCAGGUGCCAUGUUAGGAGCAUGUCUACUGUCUAAGACUAAGCUGUUCUGGAAGCCAGAGAGGCAGGAGACAGCCAGGGGCGAGAGUUGCAGGGCGCGUGGAAGGACGGGCGCAGACGCUGAGGAGUUAUGAGGGUGAGAGGCUUAGUUAGGGGUGCACAGGUAUAGGGGUAAGUAGCCUCACUCUGUCCCCUGAGGCCAACUGCAGAGACUGACAGCCUGCAUCCAGAGCUUUCUCUCAUAUGUAGACUCUACAUGGUCACAUGUAUGUGUCGUAGAAAAUCAGAGGUGCAUGAGGGAGCGAGGGAGGAUGGGGGGAAACAGGAGAUGACGAUGGGCAGGAAGGACAUGUGCUUCAUUUUCCCUGACAUGCAGAAGAGAGUGUGUCUGUGCAUACACAUGUACUUAUGUGCACGUAUUCCAGCAGAAGGUGGGAGCUACAUGAGGGGGCAGAGGCAUCAGUGAGAGGAGGAGGAAGGGGACGAGGGAUGGCAAUGAGGGGGGAAUAUGAGAAAAUGUGUGUGUGUGUGUGUGUGUGUGUGUGUGUGUGCAUGCAUGUAUGUGCAAAUGUCAUGGUGAGGGACCAGAGAGAUGGCUCAGCACCCACAUGGUGGCUCACAACAGCCUGUAACUCCAGUUCUGGGGAUUAGCUGCUUUCCUCUGGCCUCUGCUGGCAACGGCGCACUUGGUACACAUGCAUAUACAUAAAAUUAAAAAAUACUUUAAAAAUUUAUCGAAAGUGCCAUAAUAAACCCAUUAUCUUAUAAGCUGACUAAUAAAAACAUGCCACCUCUAUUUCAUUCUGAAAACUAAAACUAAAAAUAGCUCGUCAGUGUGUUAAUAAAACUGUGCUGCACAUGCAAUGUUUUGAAGCAAUUAACUGAGGACAGAUGCAUGCUCCCGUGUAGAAAAUGCAUGAAUAUGCAUUGAUGCAUAUUAUGCAUUUUUAAACAAGAAAAGAGCAUUUCUGAUGGCAUUCAUGCCCCUGUGUGUAUGGCUUCUGUCUGUGAAGGAAAGAGUAUAGCAUGCUCCUGUGUGUAUGGCUUCUGUCUGUGGAGGAAAGAGUAUAGGGAGCCCUGGGGUUUUCAUUACGUUUUCGUGUGUGCUAUUAGAACAGGGUGUCAUGUGAAAGUAUGACUUUUGUAUAAAAAUGUCAGAGUUAAAAGUAAAAGGACGGGAAUAAAGCAGUUGACGUGCUCGCCAGCACGGGGUUUGCUUUGGGGCAUCUCACAUGCCCUUUCAUGCUUAGUUGAGCACAGUGACUAGGAAAGCUGGGAGCUUCAGAUGGAGACAAAUGAAAGGGGACUGUCCUGGUGAGAGUGGGGUGCUUUGCUGGAGAGGGAAGGACCCCUGUGACUUUGAAUGUGCUCUUUUUGACCUGUGACCCCACAUGUUCACUCCCAGGAGGUGCUAAGCAGGACACACCUGUAUGUAUGCGACGUAAUAACCAGGCUAGCUUAAUAUGAAACAGCAAAUUUUAAUGAAGGGAUAGCUUACAACACCAGGGAUCUAGCGAUGGGCAGGAAAUACAAAAAUAGACCUGCGGGGCUCAUGCCCGCCAGAUUUAUACGUAAACAUUAGCCCGAGGUGAAAAUGCCCCCCAUUGGGCUAGGCUUCCCCUACACCUGUACAGCUAGUUCCCCAGAUUCAAGGACAGGGAUUUGACAGAGGGAAGAGAUGCACUUGAAUAUAAACCCUGGAUGGCUCCUUAGGGAGGGGGGGAGCAGUAGCUUGUCCCCGAGGCACAGAGGAACUCAUGAGGAAUGCCAGAGAUUGUUUCCAAGAGAAGUGGAGACCAGAGCAUGAUGCUCAGAUGUUAGCUGCUCACAGGACUCCCUCCUCAGACCCAGGAGCAUCUCUCCUCCCUGCCCCAGUCUUCUACCUCACCACCAUGACUGCCAGUGGAAGCCUGCACACCGCUUCCUGCAAGGACCCCUAAGACUGAGAACUGGCUACUCCUAGUGUUGGGACAAUGGCUUCAGGCCCUGACAGUUGUUCCCAGAGCUGACUUGGGUUAGGACAGUAGUCCAGGGGCUUCAUAACUUGGAGUGCCUGGGCUGGAAGGAAGAAUCCCUGAUGAGAGGAAAAAAGAGAAAUGGCUGAUAUUAGUGCUUUAGCUAAUAUCUUAGCCAUGCAGUUGGGUCUGUUCCCAGGAUGGAUGUUCCCGAUGAUAGAGGAGAUUCUGAAUAGGUGCACACAUCCCCAAAGAAGCCAGCUGCCUUGCACGGAUGGCAGACACUCCUUUUUAUCAAGCAGAUGAUGCAGGCAGAAUGAGCUUAUCUUCGAGUCCUGGUACCAUUGGGUGGAAACCGCAGCUAUUGUUUUGUAUGCAGUCCAGAUAAGGCUGCAGGAGAUUGGAAAUGGGACAGGGAUGCUGGUCUCUUACUAAUGGUUCCAGACAGUUUACCCAUUUGAGUUUUCCCCUUUGGCUUACAACUCUGGCUUUCUCACUCACUCUUUGGAAGUGCUUCUUGCCAUUCUCAAUGCAAAAUCCCCUCUUCUAUAUUUGUUGCUUCUUGUUGGAGGAUGUAGGCUUUGCCGUCUUACCAGUCUGAUGCGAUAGUGCAUGAUCUUUAAUGCAUUGACAGUGAAUGUCCUCUUGGGAAGGGGACUGUCCCAUGAAGCCCAGGCAGUCCUGAUCUUUCUUCCUUCUCCUUGCAGUAUUAUGAUUGCAAGCACGUGUUGACGCACCAAAGAGGUCCACAAUAGCCUGGAGUGGUGUAUAUCAAAGGUUUAUUUAUUUGGGGAUAAACUCACAGUAAGGGUAGCAACCUGCAGUCCUCUGUGUGUGCUGGGAACUGGAAUUGAAUCCAGCAGCCAAGAGGGCCACACCUGCUUUUGUCUGCAUUUAUAGUACAUGAAACCAUGUCCAAAGUGGGCCGGUAUCUUAAAGGCUGUUGGCUAAAGGAGUUCCCAUAGCACCUCCCCCUUUUGUCUAAAUAAGAGAAUUGUAAGCCUCAUACAAAACUAUAUACAAUAAGAACAAAUAUCAAGUCUUGUUCAGGGAAAAGAAGAGGCAAAAACAUAAAAACUAGAAUUACAACCAGCAUGAGCAACAUCAAACAAGAAACAUACACUAAAUAUUUCAAUAGUGAUCCUAUCCUAAGGAAUCUCAGUCAUGUAUUAAAAAUGGCUUGGCUAAGUCUUGAGAGGAAAGUAACUAUGACUAUCUGGUCUUCAACCCUAUCAAAGACCUGAGAAGGGAAAUAGUAUCACCUGAGUAAACAGGAAGUGCAGUCAGGCAACUUCCAAAAGGUGCAGUAGAUGACAGAGACAACUGGCUACCUGGCAAUCACCCAAAGUCUCAUUUGCAAAGUUGGGGAAACCAACUUUGGCUAAGGCCUAGAGUAUCUGACAGACCAUUUUCAGAGGCAGGGAAAUUUGAAAAACCAUCUUACCCUGUCUAGGCAAGGUUUGGCAGUCUUUUUGCUUGUAUCCUGCUUGUCCAGUCUGGACACUGUUCAUUUUGUCAGUAGUUGAGCUACACAGUCUUUCCAUCUGCAUUUAUAGUAUAUGAGACUAUGCCCAAAGUGGGCUAGUAUCUUAAUGACUAUUGACUGAAGGAGGUUCCCACAACACCCAUGCAUCACCAUACCUGGCUGACGGUCUCUCUCUCUCUUUACAUGUGGGGGUCACAGCCUUGGGAGUCAUUCCUCAGGUACCACACACCUUUCCUUUGAGACAGAGUCUCUCACUGGUUUGGAACUCACCAAGGAGCCUGGACUGGCUGGUUAGGAAGCCCCAGGGAUCCUCCCAUUUCUAUUUCCCCAGCACUGAGAUUCCAAGUGUGCACCGCUCUGCCUGACUUUUUAAAAACAUGUCCUGGGAAUUGAACUCCCAUUUUUCUGCAUGUAAUGCAGACUGAGCCAUCUCCAAACCCUUGCAGCAUUGCAGCUUUUGUGAUUACAUUUGUCAUCUCACUUUGGGGGUUUUUAAUCACAGAUCUUUGAUGGAUAAAGUCAGUGGACCAAAGGCCCAGUUGUUGAAAAAUUUCUUUGUCCUGUUGUGACAUAUAGUUCUUCUAGGUGAUGGGUUGUUCCCUGGGCCUUGUCCCUAAAAUGAGGGGUGUUCCUUUGGCCUGUCUUCUUUUAGGUAUAAAAUGCAUGAGCAAGACACAGGGACCUUUCAAUCUUGUGGUUAGUUGGCAGACAGGUGUGUCUGUUUCUUCCCGUUUUCCUCUUAUGGGGGUAAUUUCAGAGCUCAAGAAUUGUAAUAUCUUUGAAUUUUACAUGUGGCUCGAAGCUCUUCUUAUCACAGGUACCUCCAGGAGAGCUCCCAGCUAAUAAGGAAGAUAACCACUUUUGCUGAUGUUUGGACCAUCUGCCGUUUCACGGGUGAGUGGCAACUCCGAGUGCUUGAGAUGAGCUAGUAUUUAAAAUGCAGCCUCUCCCUUUUAAUUGUCUACUUCAUUUCAGAUUCCAAGCUAGCAUUUUUUUAUUUCACUUCAUUUGAGAAUCCUGAGGCCAAGCUGAGCAGAUAUCACAUCAGAUAUAGGGUCUGAGUUCCCGGAAAAUCAGAUGACUCUAAGCAAUACCAUUAACAAGCAAGGGGUCAAGACCCUGGUGUGAGGGUUCUGGGUAGCAAUCUCACCAAUAAUUCCCAGCACACUGCACUGUGGACAUGGCCACUGCUGGCCAGGCUGGCCUGUGAUCUUGAUCUCUGAUGGCUGUAGGGUCAGGAAUUGUGGGUACAGGGGUCAGUGAAGAACCUGAUUAUUCACUAAUAAGAUCUGUCUGUCCCUAAAGAUGUCUGUCUGGAAUCCAGACUUUCUGGCAUGGUUUAAUCAAUGCAUGGCACAACUAUUUUAUAAUAUCUACAUAUAUGAUAAAUUAUUCUGCUAUGAUUCUUUAUGAUGUCAUCACAAACUACUCAAUGUCCUAAGAAUCACCGGUUCUCUUAACACCUCUUCUCCUCCUUCUGCCUCUUUAUCUUUCCCCUCUUUCUCCUUCUCCUCUUCCUUCCUCUGCCUCCUUCUUUACACGAUGAAACUGACAAUGACCCAAGUGUCUCUGGCAUCUGUACGCAUGCCCAACACAGUAGAACCCACUGAAAGAGGGAAAGGAAAAUAAAGACCCUGUAUAGCUCACCCAUUUCUUCAUAUUUGGAAAGCCCUUGGCGGCUUUCCACCAGCAGGGCUGACUGAGCUCUCAGGGGUCACAGAGUGACUCUCAGACUCCAGAAGCUCAAUGUCACAGAUUCUUCACCAACAACCCGUACAGCUGAACCCCUAAGAGAUUCCUUAACUAGUUAAUUAGUCAUUUUAGAAAGUAGAAGACAUUACACUACAACCUACUAGAUACUGUCCCAAUAAGAGUCCUUUUCUUUCCGGUGUAGGAUGGUGUGUUUCUAACUAAAUUUAAUCAAUGCAUGAUAUAAUUAUUUUGAAAUAUCCACACAUAUGGUAAAUCAUCCACUACUGUGAUUCUGUGUUGCCAUUAUGAACUAUUCAGCAUACAAAAAUGCCCCCCCUUUCCAUUUCAUUUUCCUACUCUACAUGAACUUGAUAAUGAUCAAAGCCCAUUGAUAUCCACGGGUGAUUAGUCCUGGUUCUCUUGAGGGUACCAAAGUCUAUAUAUGCACAAGCCCUUCUAUAAAUUGGUAGAGUAUUUUCACAUAAGUGAUGCAUUUAUUCCUGUAUACUUAUAUUAUAGAUUACUUAUGAUACCUAAUGCAAGGUAAAUCCUGUGUAAACAGUUAUAUGGUAUUGCUUAGGGAAUGACAAAAGCUCUGUGUAUGCUCAGCUCUGAUCCAUUUCUUUUCUAUUUUCCAUCCGUGGUUGCUUGAACUGACAAAUGUGGACAUGGUGACCUAGGCAGACUGCUCUGCUUGGUGUUUAGCCUGGAAAAGCUUAGGGAUGGCCUUUUUCAUAAGACCUCUAUGGACUGCUCGUUUGCACGGAAGUGAACGAGUCCUGUGCGGGGUGAGCGCCUGUCGUUAGUAGUUAUCUGUAGUGGGCUGUGCUAGGGCAAAGGGAGCUUGCCUCAGGAAACUGUGAGAUGAUGUUUGAACUUGCCAGAGGCCUGAAGGGUCUUCUUGAAGUCUAGAGACUCUACAGUGUCACUGGCCUGGUAAACCCACAACUCGUCAAGUUAGGGAUGUGAGCGAAACUUCACAGAGCAGUUACUUUUCCAAAUAGGAGAACAGGGAUGCAAGUAGAAAUCGACUAAGGUGAUGAAUCCCUGGAUGCAUUUACUUUUCAAUUGUCACCAAGGAAGCUUAAGUUGGCACUUUUAAGGAGGACGAUAGAGAUGGGGGAUUGUGUGUGUGGUACCAGCAGUGCAGGUUUGCCAGACUAGAGAGCUCCUGUGGAGGGGGCACUGGCUAGCUAUGGAUCAGAAAGCAGUUCCCUGAGACUCUCAGGCUCCACUGGGUAUAUGACAGACCUUUGAGAGUGUCUACAAGGGCUUUGUUUACUGGCUUGAAGAGAGAGAUGAUGUCCCUACCAGGGGGCUGUGAUGGCCCCAAAUCACACUUGAGUCUUUGUGUUAAGAUGAUGCAAGACCAAUGUGGGUGGUGAGUUUGGUGUGCCCUAAAGCUUGCUUUCUGAAGCCUGCGUGGCCCCUGGGAGCUCCUGGGGGAGGUGGGAAGUGUGGACAUGCAGGGAUGGAGCAUCACAGGAAAUGACUUCUGAAACACUCCCUCAGGCGUCCUGUUCUGCUCUGAUUCAUCGUUUAGCCUCUGGCUUGGAUAAGCCCCAGGAACAGUGUGAGCCUCCUGCUCAGAGGUUAGUCUCUGCUUCAACUUUGCUCAGGCUUUUUGGCAUAAGUUGAACCCCAAUAAUGCCAACACAGUGUAGUGGGACAUAGCUGGAAGCCACUUGGCAGGGGUAGGAUUGGUGUAGUAACCAGCACAAAUAUUAAAGGAGUGAUUCUCAACCUGUGGGUCACAACUCCUUUGGGGGUCAAACAACCCUUUCACAGGGAUUACCUAAGACAUCAGAAAACACAGAUAUUUGCAUUAUGAUUCAAAACAGUAGCAAAAUUACAGUUACGAGAAAGCAACAAAAAUUUUAUAGUUGGAGGUCACCACACCAUGAGGGACUGUAUUAAAGGAUCUCAUCAUUAGGAAGGUUGAGAAUCACUGAAUUAAAGCAUCAUGGACCCCAGUGCCCCAUCAAUUAAGCAGUGGUGGAUUCAUUCAUUCAUUCAUUCAUUCAUUCUAUGUGCUUCAGCUAUGGUCUUCUUCUCUGGGUGGCACACCUUCAUUGGUAUUCUUGGUAGUAUAAUUAGAAACAUCUCUCUAACUUCAACUUAUUGAGAAGUUGCUUAUGUUUGCUGUGGUUAGGAUUUGACAAUAGUUAGAAAGCAUUGGGUGAUUCCCAUAGUCAAUCUCACACUGUAUUUCAACUGGCUCUCCGCUCCUGAACAAUAAAUACACUUCCCCUCUUAGAGUGGUUUCAAAGAGCAACAUUAAGGGAGUGAGCUAUGUUUAGUCUUGUUGGCUGAAUGCAAACUAAGCCAUUAGUGUAACCUCUGGCUCUUCAUGCUCCUCAGAACCACAGUAUAUAGUUUCAAGAAUAGCACUCAUCCCGAGCCCAGGUGGUGAGAAGAUUCUGGAAAAUGAUGGAUGUAUGAGGACCAAUCUGAGUAGUGUGUGGGUUGGACACUGCAAUCCUCUGGUCCUGACAUGACCUUGGUCCAGUGCUAAACAGCUUCUCCUGAGUAAGUUUAGACCCUCUCCCUGCAGUGGAUCAAGAUGUGAAAUCACUGAAAAUUAUCUUUCAAAGAUAUGAACCAUAGUCCUGAUCCUCAGGAGACUGGAGUGUCUAAAACACUCCAUGGAUGCUUGAACCACAUGUAACACCAAAUCUUACAUUAAUAUUUUAUUGACUUUAUAAUUAUGCAAGUAAGAGCUUAAUAACAAUGACCAGUAAUAAAGCAUAGCAAAUAAGACAGCAUUCUGUUAGAAUUGUUACCACAGCUACACUUGUGCUCGGGCCAUUGUUAGCAAGUGCACACAGCACAGUAGUAGAUCUGAUAACUGAGAUGGCUUUGGGACUGACAGGCAAAGGAUCAUUCAGAUUCCUAAAAGAGAGAGAUCAGAUCAUACCUCUACAAAGGUCAUCUAAUUAAAAACUUAGGAGUUAUUUUUAAACAUUUUUUUUGAAUUGCUGAGUGUUUGACUUUCACUGGAGCAUGGGCAACUGAGGCCACGGGAGGAAAAACCACGGAAAAGUAGACCUACUGUAGAGCAGUGGCAGUUUAAUAUUCUCUAAAAAGCAAAGGUUUCCUACUGAGAUCCAGAAAUUGCUGAGGGAAAACUCCACCAAUUUUGCUAAAUUCUAAAGUCACUUGCCUCAAAUAACCGGCUACCUAGUUAAAGUUAGAGCAGAAGGGUUGGGUCAGGAAGGUAAGGCUCACUCUUAGACAGGUACUAAGAGUGGUGACAUUUUGUACAAGUCUUCCUUUGGGCUGUGAACAGCCACCGAGAGCUGUGUAGGCAAGCUCUUACGCAGCCUCGUUAGCGACCUGAGACACCAUUAUUCUCCAUCUUUGCUCUUAGCGUUUAAGAAAAGUGGGACCAUUGUUGGCGUAAGCUCUGUUUUAGCAUCAGGAGGAGAUGAACCAAUCACAAAGCCCCGUUUGAACCCAUCAGGUGACUUAAUUAAAUGUUGCAUGAGGCAGGGCUGGAGCGGUGACUCAACAGUAAGAGAGCUUGCUGAGGACCGGGAUUCAGUUCCCAGCGCCCAUAUGGUGGCUCACAAGUGUCUGUAAACUCCUGUCCCAGGGUACCUCUUCUGGCCUCCGUGGGCACUGUACACAUAUGGCAUGCACACAUUCAUGAAGGCAUACAUACACUCACAUAUAAAUAAAGUAUUUAAAUGUCUUCUAGGACAGGCUCCAAAGCUACAGAGAAACCCUGUCUCAAAAAACCAAAAAAAAAAGUGUUUAAAUAUCACAUUUUCUUUCAGAGAUCAUACUUUCUUGCCACCUUCAGACAAAAUGAUGCUUUAGGAGUGCUGGUCCCAAAGGCUCAUUUGGUGAUUUUUUUUGGUUCCUGGUACCAAUACAUACUGGGAGGCUAUUGCUGUAGGAAUUCCUACCACCAGCAGCCUUUAAGUUACCUGCCCACUUGGGCAUGGGCUCUUAUACUAUAAACGCCAUGUAAAGUGCACAUCCGCUCUCUUUUCUGGCUGCUGGAUUCAGUUGCUGUUCCCCGUUUGAGCAGAGGAUUGUGAUCUGUGAGUCUACCCCUACACAAAUAACCCUCUAUUAUACUCAGUUCUGAGCUAGUGUGGGAUUUAAGCAUCCUUCUUCAUCUGGUGUCCAUGCGGAUCUAGACUCCACACCCACUGGAUAGAUCAGCUUAAAGACCUAGGUCCACUGCCCAGAAAGACUCCCACCUCUGCCCACUUGGCUUGCUUUUACCUAAGUGGUGUUUUAUGGAGUCCCUGUGUGAUGUGGGAGUGUCAUAUAUCAAUCUGUUGAUUUCAUUGGUUAAGCAAAAAGAAACUGCUUGGCCCUGAUAGGUUAAAACAAAAAUUGAGAUUUUUGUCAACUAGUAGGUACAGACCCAGCAGAGAUUAUAGUGCCUUUUACUUCUGGUGAAAUUAAAAAAUUAUGGGAAGACAAUGAACCUUGGCAAAGAGCUUGUGCUAAUUUCUAAAGGAGAGAUUAAUAACAAUUAUUCCAAAAGUAAUAGAAUUAAUCUUAUAAAGAGAACUACUUGGGUCCUUUCCCACAUUGUACUUGAUGCACCAAUACUGGAGCCCAUAUAUUCUAUACUGAUGCAAAUAAAUCAGUGAAGGCAUGUUACAAAUCAGAAGAUUUAAGUAAGUUGGAACAAAGCCCUUAUAAUUCUGCUCAAAAGACAGAAUUAUAUGCUAUUCUCAUGGUGCUAAGGGAUUUUUAAAGAACCUGUUAAUAUAGUUACUGAUUCACAAUAUGCAGAGAGAGUUGUUUUGCAUAUUGAAACAACUGAAUUUAUACCAGAUGAUACAGAAUUGACUUCAUUAUUCAUACAGUUUUAAGACAUUAUCCAGAAUAGGCUUUGUCCUAUAUACAUAACACACAUCCAAUCCCAUAUGGCUCUUCCAGGUUCUUUAGCACAAGGUAAUGCAGAAAUUGAUUAAUUACUGAUUGGAAGUAUGUUGAAGGCCUCAGAAUUUUAUAAGAACCAUCAUGUCAAUAGCAAAGGUUUAAAGAAAGAGUUUUCUAUUACAUGGCAGCAAGCUAAGGAGAUUAUAAAGAGAUGUCCUAUUUGCUUUUUAUAUAACCAAACACCACUACCUGCAGGAACUAACCCAAAGGGUACUCAAAGGAAUUAAAUCUGGCAGAUGGAUGUGCUCCACUUUGCAGAAUUUGGAAAAUUAAAAUAUGUAUACCACACCAUUGACACUCAGGUUUUUAGUGGGCAACUGCUUUAAGCUCGGAAAAGGCUGAUUCAGUAAUCACACAUUUAUUAGAAGUUAUGAGCAUCAUGGAUAUAGCUGUACAAAUAAAGACAGACAAUGGUCCAUCAUCAUAUGUGUCUAAGAAAAUGAAAUAAAUUUUUGUGUAUUAUAAUAUAAAGCAUAUUAGUGUAUCAUACAACCCUACAGGUCAGGCAGUUACAGAAAGGUCAGAUUGUCCUAUAAAGGAUUUGCUAAGCAAACAGAAAGGGGUGGAAAAUACCCCCAGAAAUAGAUUACUUGUGCCUUAUUAACCUUCAGUUUUCUUCACACUAAUGAGAAAGGGUCAAUAGCAGAAGAGAGUCAUUGGAUAAUAGAAAAAAACCUUCUGAAUUAAAUCAUCUAGUGUAUUUCAAGGAUGUGUUGACCUCACAAUGGAAGCCAGGAGAGGUGCUAUGCUGGGGAAGGGUUUUGCUCUUGCUUCCACAGGAGAAGAAAAACUAUGGAUACCAUCAAAAUGAACAAUGAUUCACUUUGAAAAAGAGAAACCUCUUGAGAAAGAGAAAUGAUGCCUCAUUCACAACAGUGACAACCAUACAGGUGGUAAGGAAAGCAUAUAAGGUUGGGGCAGGGUUCUUAUCUUUACAGGAAAAUACACAUCUCCAAAAAUUCAAGAGACCCUAGAUGUUUGGAUGCUGACAGAAGGAAAAAUAACUGUGCAAUAAGGAAUAUCACGAAAAAGGAAUAUGACUUGUAAGGACAGGUGAUAAAACACACACACACACACAUCUGGCUUUGGAGUUUGACAACAGCUCUGUCCUCUAAAUCCAAGCAUAUUGUUAAAAUAAAAAUUCAGUGUUUCUGUCUCAUGUCAGGAGCCAUCUGGUAUGGGACAGAAAGAGGAAAGAAUUUAGAAAAAAAUUUUCUUUUGUUCAUACCUAUUUUUUCUCUAUCAUACCUUACAUUGAACAUAUAUGUCUGUAUAUGUCUAUAUUAAAAAUGUUUAAAUUUUCCACAAUGAACAAUGUAUUUUCCUGCAGUAAUCUUUGAAGUUUCCAGGAAGAAGAUUGGGUCCCACAACAACAACUCCACCUGGUUGAUAUGACGUCAUGAUGCUGAUAGCGCUAAUAUAAGACCUGUUCUGGGUACCAGCUGCUCAAGAUGGUUUCAACUUGGUUAGGUGAAAUAGUGCAUUUUUUUUCAACGUUCUGGUCAGAACUCCAAAUAGGAACAUCAGAAACACCUUACUGAAUACUCAGAGACUAUUUGCAAUUAUACCAGGCAGUAAUCUUGGAACUUAACAAUCAUUUUACUUUCAUAGGAUCCUAUAGAAUGAACAUUGCCCCCAUGACAGCUAGAAGUAAUCCUAGAAGACAAUGUUCCUUCUCCCAACAAUGUUUGUCCUCAGGGUUAGGGACAUCAUUUAGGGGUUGAUUAUAAUUGGUGUAGGGUUGAGGGUUGUUGGGGAAAUUAUGUAGGCUCAGGAUCUCUUUGAAAAAAAAAAGAGGAAAUUGGAUGGGAUAAUAGGUAAUUUACAUUGGUAUAAAUUCUUGUAUAUUGAUACAAGCUUAAAUUAUAUUGAAUAUGUCCUAUUUUUGUCCACAUAUUUGUAUAUCUAGGCAAAGUUAUUUUCUCAUAUUGUAUGCAUGCAUGCUUCUACCUCUGUUUAAGACAUUUGGUAUAUUGAUACAAUUUUAGGAUAUAUUUAUCAUAUUGUAACAUAUAUUUUUACCUCUGAUCAAGAUAUUUAUACAUUGUUUACAAUUUGAGGUUAUUGUCCUCAUUUGUUGCAGAGUUGCUUAUUGUAUAAUAUUCUAAUAUGAAAUCUUGGCCUUUAAGUUAUAUAGGUGUUAAGAAUUAUAGAUCAAUAGUCAUUUAUGUUUGUCAUAUUUAUAGUUAGACUAAUCAGGUUCUUUAGAUACAUAGAGAUUGUAUUCUGCAUAGAUAGGUAAUCUUCAACCACUUCAAAGAGCUGUAGAAUAUGGAAUUUAAAUAACUUAGCCUUGUGUUGACGCGAGACACAAUUGCUCCUGGCAGCACCGAUCUAUUCCUGAGAGAAUGUUGAGCACCAAAGACACUCCACUUGGAGCUUGUUUUCUCUUUGGCAAAACUGGCCUUUGGGCAAGGAACUGCCCAUGUAUCAACCACUGACAAAAUGCACGAUGUCCAGACAGGACAAGCAGGAGACAAGGAAAAAGACUGUCAAAUCUUGCCAAGACAGGGUAAGACAGUUUUGAAAAAUUUCCUGCCUCUGAAAGUAGUCUGCCAGUAACUCUAGGCCUUAGCCAAAGUUGGUUGCUCCAACAUUGCAAAUGAGACUUUGGGUAAUUGCCAGGUAGCCAGUUGUCUCUGUCAUUUGUUGUACAUUUUGGAAGUUGCUUGAUUGCACUUCCUGUUUACCCAAGUAAUAUUAUUUUCCUUCUCAGGUCUUUGAUGGAGUUGAGACUAGAUAGUUGUAGUUACUUUCCUCUCAUGACUUGGCCAAGUUAUUUAUAAUACAAGACUUAAACUCCUUAGGAUAGGAUAAUUAUUAAAACAUUUAUCACAUGUUUCUUUCUUGAUAUUCUUUAUGCUGGCUGUAAUUCUAAUUUUUAUACCUGAUACUUGUUCUUAUUGUAUAUAACUUCGUAUUAGACUUAGAACUUUCUUAUUUAAACAAAAGGGGAGGUGUGUAGGAAGUCCUACCACCAGUAUUAGACUUAGAACUUUCUUAUUUAAACAAAAGGGGAGGUGUGUAGGAAGUCCUACCACCAGUAGCCUUUAAGUUACCUGUUCACGUGGGCAUGGCCUCUUAUACUAUAUAUGCCGAUGUAAAGUGCAUAGUUUUGGCCUCCUUCUUGGCUACUGGAUUCGGUUGCUAUUCCCUGUUUGAGCAGUGGACUGUAAUCUGUGAGUCUACCCCUAAAUACAACCCUCUAUUAUACUCAA